UCAGUUCAAAUACCAAUCCAAGUUCAUUCAAAUGAGGAAAUGUCAUUCAUUACAUGAUCAUAAAAGGUUCAUUACAUGGAAAAAAUACAAAGAAAGGUGUGUUGACCAAUUGUUGACUUUGGUCAACAGUUGACUUUUUGGUCAACAAUGGACUUUUUGGUCAACAAUUGACUUUUUGGUCAACUUUGACCAAAGUCAACUCAAACCCUUCUCAUCCUAGAAUCCAAAUCCUAAUUUUACUUCUAAGGUUGAUUUUUCAUUCUUGGCCUUUGAGCUUUCCAUGUGUGCACGA
rnacentral:lncRNA from 1 species